rnacentral:tRNA from 1 species
GCCGGCGUAGCUCAGCGGUAGAGCGGCUGAUUCGUAAUCAGUUAGUCGGUGGUUCGAAUCCACUCGCCGGCUCCA